rnacentral:rRNA from 1 species
GCAAGUCGAACGGUAACAUGGGAGCUUGCUCCUGAUGACGAGUGGCGGACGGGUGAGUAACGCGUGGGAACAUACCUGUUAGUUGGGGACAACCUGUGGAAACGCAGGCUAAUACCGAAUACGUUCUGAGGAAUAAAGGUGGCCACUAUUUAUAAGCUAUCGCUAACAGAUUGGCCUGCGUUGGAUUAGCUUGUUGGUGAGGUAAUGGCUCACCAAGGCGACGAUCCAUAGCUGGUCUGAGAGGACGAUC